rnacentral:rRNA from 1 species
AACGAACGCUGGCGGCAUGCCUAACACAUGCAAGUCGAACGAGACCUUCGGGUCUAGUGGCGCACGGGUGCGUAACGCGUGGGAACCUGCCCUUAGGUUCGGAAUAACAGUUAGAAAUGACUGCUAAUACCGGAUAAUGUCUUCGGACCAAAGAUUUAUCGCCUUUGGAUGGGCCCGCGUAAGAUUAGGUAGUUGGUGGGGUAAAGGCCUACCAAGCCGACGAUCUUUAGCUGGUCUGAGAGGAUGAUCAGCCACACUGGGACUGAGACACGGCCCAGACUCCUACGGGAGGCAGCAGUGGGGAAUAUUGGACAAUGGGCGAAAGCCUGAUCCAGCAAUGCCGCGUGAGUGAUGAAGGCCUUAGGGUUGUAAAGCUCUUUUACCAGGGAUGAUAAUGACAGUACCUGGAGAAUAAGCUCCGGCUAACUCCGUGCCAGCCGCCGCCGUAAAAC